UACGGGGGGAGCAAGCGUUGUUCGGAUUUACUGGGCGUAAAGGGCGCGUAGGCGGUCGUGACAAGUCACUUGUGAAAUCUCCGGGCUUAACCCGGAAAGGUCAAGUGAUACUGUCGGACUAGAGUACAGAAGGGGCAACUGGAAUUCUCGGUGUAGCGGUGAAAUGCGUAGAUAUCGAGAGGAACACCAGUGGCGAAGGCGGGUUGCUGGGCUGACACUGACGCUGAGGCGCGAAAGCCAGGGGAGCGAACGGG
rnacentral:rRNA from 1 species